rnacentral:rRNA from 1 species
GUGUCAGCCGCCGCGGUAAUACGAAGGGGGCUAGCGUUGUUCGGAAUUACUGGGCGUAAAGCGCGCGUAGGCGGUUUAGUAAGUUGGAUGUGAAAUCCCUAGGCUCAACCUAGGAAUUGCAUUCAAGACUGCUGAGCUAGAGGCCUGGAGAGGAGAGUGGAAUUCCCAGUGUAGAGGUGAAAUUCGUAGAUAUUGGGAAGAACACCAGUGGCGAAGGCGGCUCUCUGGCCAGGUUCUGACGCUGAGGCGCGAAAGUGUGGGGAGCAAACAGGAUUAGAAACCCCGGUAGUCC